rnacentral:rRNA from 1 species
UACAGAGGGGGCAAGCGUUGUUCGGAAUUACUGGGCGUAAAGGGCGCGUAGGUGGCCUUCUAAGUUGAACGUGAAAUCCCUGGGCUCAACCCAGGAACUGCGUCCAAGACUGGGAGGCUUGAAUCCGGGAGAGGGAUGCGGAAUUCCAGGUGUAGCGGUGAAAUACGUAGAUAUCUGGAGGAACACCGGUGGCGAAGGCGGCAUCCUGGACCGGGAUUGACACUGAGGCGCGAAAGCCAGGGGAGCAAACGGG